UACAGAGGAGCCAAGCGUUGUCCGGAUUGACUGGGCGUAAAGCGCACGCAGGCGGUUGCGCGCGUGGGGUGUGAAAUCUGGCCGCUUAACGGCCAGGCGCCAUCCCAUACGGCGCGACUGGAGUGAUGCAGAGGUCGAUGGAAUUGCCGGUGUAGUGGUGAAAUGCGUAGAGAUCGGCAGGAACACCCAGGGGGAAACCAGUCGACUGGGCAUCUACUGACGCUGAGGUGCGAGAGCGUGGGGAGCGAACCG
rnacentral:rRNA from 1 species